CAGCCGCCACGGUAAUACGUAGGGUGCGAGCGUUAAUCGGAAUUACUGGGCGUAAAGCGUGCGCAGGCGGUUUUGUAAGACAGGCGUGAAAUCCCCGGGCUCAACCUGGGAAUGGCGAUUGUGACUGCAAAGCUGGAGUGCGGCAGAGGGGGAUGGAAUUCCGCGUGUAGCAGUGAAAUGCGUAGAUAUGCGGAGGAACACCGAUGGCGAAGGCAAUCCCCUGGGCCUGCACUGACGCUCAUGCACGAAAGCGUGGGGAGCAAACAGGAUUAGAUACCCCGGUAGUCCCUGUCUCUUAUAC
rnacentral:rRNA from 1 species